CCGAACCUGGUUUCUGCCAAAGGGCAGAAACUAGGUUCAAACGAACCUCUUGCCUCCCAAAACCUCUAAUCAUGCAUAAACUUGCUCUACAACAUGCAUACUUCACAUACAUUACACCUAGGGGUCUCAAACUAUCAUAUACCCCAUCUACAACACUUCCAUCAACAAAAACAAGCUACAUUGUUCAUCAAAGCAUCAAAACCCAUAAACUCAAUAUAUAUUCCCUAACAUGCAUUUCUACCCAUAGAUCUUGCAUAAAACUUAUUUAAAACACAUAAGGAGCUUAAGAUCGGCUCUUACCUCUUGAAGAUCGAGAGGGAGACGACCUAAACUUGGAGAUCCACGAAAAUGAGCUCCUGAGUUCCCAAAGCUCCAAAACUUGGUUUGAAUGCUCAAAACUUGCAAUGUGAGUUUAAAACUUAAGAAAAAUGGAAGAGAUUUGGAGGAAGAGCACAAGAUUUGUAAAGGGAAGGUUGGAAGCUUGCUGUGGCCGAAAAUGGGAGAAAGCUCACCCAUUUCGGCUAAGUGCCCCUUUUAUAGGUGGCUGGCCAGGCCACGUUCGGGGGCCGAACAUGCCUCCGCAUCCAUGCAAUGUUCGGCGGCCGAACGUGAGUUUCGGCGGCCGAACCUGGACUUCCCUCGCCUAUGCUUUCGGGGGCCUAACG
rnacentral:lncRNA from 1 species